CGUGGCGGGCUCAAAUGGCGGAGGCGCUGGGCGCCUAGGCCGUCGGGGGCCAUGAGCGCCGCCCGGCCCCAGUUUAGCAUCGAUGAUGCCUUCGAGCUGACCCUGGAGGACGCGGGGCCUGGGCCCGAGUCCAGCGGGGUCGCCCGCUUCGGGCCGCUGCACUUCGAUCGCCGGGCUCGGUUCGAGGUGGCUGAUGAAGACAAGCAGUCCCGGCUACGCUACCAGAACCUGGAAAAUGAUGAGGACGGAGCCCAGGCCUCUCCGGAGCCUGAUGGGGGAGUCAGCACCAGGGAUUCUGGGCACAUGUCUGUCCGCAGCUCGCAGUGGUCCUUCAGCACCAUCAGCAGCAGCACACAGCGCUCCUACAACGCCUGCUGCAGGUGUCUCCAGCGCCAUCUUCUUUGUGCCGGGCAUCCUGCUGCUAGUCCCGGGAGUCUACCAUGUGAUCUUCAUCUACUGUGCUGUCAAAGGCCGCCAGGGCUUCCAGUUCUUCUACCUGCCCUACUUUGAGAAGUGAGCUGUAACUGGCCAGUGGCUUACCAGUGAUCCAAGGCCUCAGGUCACCUCCACGUGUCCACAGGGUAUUCCUCCAACCUACACCUGGUUCUUUUCCUUUCACCUGGAAAGCAGAGGCCCUCUGGGACCCUCACAACCACCAGGCCCCUUUGGAUUUGCUCAGGAAGUUUGGGGCAUGCCAGCCUGGGAAUAUUGCCUCUUACCUGAUGUGUGCCUUAACUUAUUCCUGGGUCCUGGACUCCUGGGUUGGUGUAAUUUUGUGCUAAUAAAAGGGUAAUUAUUUCC
ensembl:processed_transcript